UAUGCCUUGUCCAUCUUAUAUUAUUGUGUGCUUACUCAUUCCUUUGAGCAUUUGCUUUCACUAUUCUGUUUCUCUUUUGACGAAGUUCUUCUUUUUUUAUGAGCUUCUUUAUUUACGCUUUUCUACGUCGAAUCUAAAAAAUGAUGAAUUUUUUUAUUGAAAUACUUUGUAUAUUUACUUUUCAUCGUUAUUGUUGUCUUUGAGACAAAUGUUUUCAUGUUAGUGAUUUAAAAUUUCUUCGGUCUCUUUGAAAGUGUACGUGGAAGGUGAUGCCUCCACUAAUAUCUACCUCCUAACUGAUGUUUGAUAGGAUGGAACAAGAGAAAGCUCCAAGAAAGACACCAAACCCAGCCUAUGGUCGUUUGUUCACAUAAACGUAUUAUAAAGAGGAAGUUGGAAAUAUGAGCGUCAAAGAGAAGUAAUCGACAAAAAGAUACUCUUUCAAUUAAAUGGAAUCAUGCCUGGUGAUCCAAGAGGCGCUACCAGCAGUUUUCGGAACGAAGAUAGGAACACAAGGAUGUUCGAACGCAGUACCUGCUUGAAUACUACGGGCAAGCUAGAAGAAACAAACUACUGAUGUUCUGAAGUUGCAAUAUACACACGAGAAUGCAAAUACAGAUUUGAAGAUGCAUCGGCGAUAUACACACGAGAAGGCAAAUGUCUGCACCUGUUAACUUUUUGACUAACUUACAAGAUGUAUAUAACUUACUACAUAACAUUUGGUGUUAAUUAAUAAAGUUGAUCACGUAUUCUAGGAUUC